AGAGUUUGAUCCUGGCUCAGGAUGAACGCUGGCGGCGUGCUUAACACAUGCAAGUCACGGGGGCCCAGCAAUGGGCAACCGGCGAACGGGUGCGUAACACGUGAGCAACCUACCUAAAUCUGGGGGAUAGCCGGCCCAACGGCCGGGUAAUACCGCAUACGCUCUAGACCAGGCAUUUGGACUAGAGGAAACCUCCGGGGGAUUUUGAGGGGCUCGCGGCCUAUCAGCUAGUUGGUGAGGUAACGGCUCACCAAGGCGACGACGGGUAGCUGGUCUGAGAGGAUGGCCAGCCACAUUGGGACUGAGAUACGGCCCAGACUCCUACGGGAGGCAGCAGUGGGGAAUCUUGCGCAAUGGCCUAACGGCUGACGCAGCGACGCCGCGUGAGGGAUGACGCUCUUCGGAGUGUAAACCUCUUUUGCCUGAGACGAAUUGCCAGCUUCAGCUGGUUUGACUGUAUCGGGUGAAUAAGCACCGGCUAACUCCGUGCCAGCAGCCGCGGUAAUACGGGGGGUGCGAGCGUUGUCCGGAAUCACUGGGCGUAAAGGGCGCGUAGGUGGUCUGAUAAGGGUGUGGUGAAAGCCCGGGGCUCAACCCCGGGUCGGCCGUGCCGACUGUCAGACUGGAGUACUGUAGGGGCAGGCGGAAUUCCGGGUGUAGCGGUGGGAUGCGUAGAGAUCCGGAGGAAGACCGGUGGCGAAGGCGGCCUGCUGGGCAGUUACUGACACUGAGGCGCGACAGCGUGGGGAGCAACCAGGAUUAGAUACCCUGGUAGUCCACGCCGUAAACGAUGGGUACUAGGUGCCUGGGGGAGCGACCCCUUGGGUGCCGGCGCUAACGCAGGAAGUACCCCGCCUGGGGAGUACGGCCGCAAGGCUGAAACUCAAAGGAAUUGACGGGGGCCCGCACAAGCGGCGGAGCAUGUGGUUUAAUUCGACGCAACGCGAAGAACCUUACCUAGGCUUGACAUGCAUGGGAAACUCCUCAGAAACGAGGAGCCUCCUUCGGGAUCCAUGCACAGGUGCUGCAUGGCUGUCGUCAGCUCGUGUCGUGAGAUGUUGGGUUAAGUCCCGCAACGAGCGCAACCC
rnacentral:rRNA from 1 species